GAGGAACCCCUCAGAAGUGAGACUUUCCUCUUACAGCAUCCUACCGGAGGCCCACGGGGCCAAUCUGGCCAUCGCUGGUGAUGAUAACCCUCAUCGCUUGGGUAUGAUGGUGUCUGCCGCCAUUCCCCACUGAAAAGUUAAUUAGUUAAAAGCCAGCCCUCAAGGAGGAGGGAAAGGGGAAGUAGGAAAAAGGAAGAAAUGAAUGGUCUGAGAGUUCCCUCUGUUUGCAAGUGAACAGUGAGCCUGCCAGUGUUCUGAACAUGGGCAAGACAUGAGACACCUGAGUCUGAGACAAAGACUUUGUUACUCACAGCACAGCAGGCAGCACGAGCUUCAUAUUCCCCCCAGCCCCCCAGCCCCACGGACAAUGAGGAGUGGCUCCGGUGGAUGCUGUACACACAGCUAAGGAACCCUGGGUUAGGAAACACCAGUCAUUUAAAGGACUGCUAGCAAACCUGCCCAGUUUCUGCCCAGAGGGAGAAGCCAUCUUUAUUAUCUUGGACAGCAAGCAAAUUUGCCCUCUACCUGGAGGGAGACACAUGCACGAUGCUGAGGAUUCACGUGUGGACAUUGGGACCCCGGGGCCUGAGCUGAGACCCCAGCACUGCCCUUUACUCUCUGGGACCUUGGACAAGUGACCCAACCUCUCUGUGCCUCGCUGUCCUCAUCUGGAAAAUUGAGAUAAUAACUGUAUCCAGGUCACUGCUUUCUUAGGAAGAUUAGCAAGACCAGUAUACAACGUGCCAGGGUCAUCUAUGCUGGGAAGGGCUGAGUGGGCUGCAGACAGGGCCAUGGAUGGCCUCUCUGAGCAGGUGCUUUUGAGACCAGAGCAGUGGAAGUGGGGAGCAACCUUGCAGCUGGUCUGGGUCAGGCGCAGGGCAAAAGCCCAGGGCAGGGAGCACUUCAGGUGCUCGAGAAGUGGUGAGAAUCCACGGGGAGCAAGAGCCCAGGAAGCCAGGCAUCGACAACGGAGUUCCCUCUGAGCACCUGAGACGGCAGUGCCGGGGACUCCUGAGCAGAGGCCAAUGCAGCCAACUUGCAUUUAAGGGGCCCGCUGGCUGUCGUGGAAGUGCCUGGAUACUCAGGAAGAGCUACAAGCAUCUGGAGGCGGCCCAAGGGUGCAGAGUUUGAUUCUUUCCAUCGACAUGUUACUGGUGAAAGGUAUCUGAGUUACUGGCAGUGAAUCCGUACAGGUCUGCGCAACCUCAAUUCUUGCCUCCUCAGAAGAAUUCGACCAAUGGGCAUAAGCAGAAGGAGAAACUGAG